GGUUAUGGCUCAGUGGUAGAGUGCUUGCCUAGCACACAUGAGGCACUGGGUUCGAUUCUCAGCACCACAAUCA
rnacentral:tRNA from 1 species